CAUAUCACGUUGAAACACGGGUUCCCGUACGAUCUCCAAAGUUAAGCACCGUCGACCCUGAUAAGUACUUAGACGGGUGACCGUUUGGGAAUACUGG
rnacentral:rRNA from 1 species